rnacentral:lncRNA from 1 species
CGAGACCAUAGGUUUGACUCCACAUUGACAAAGCUAAUUCUGUCUUCAUCUGACUUGACUCGUCAACACAAUUCAUUUUUUUAAAAAUAUUUUUUUUCACUUACAGAUGGACAGGAUACCUUUAUUUAUUUUUAUAUGGUGCUAAAGACUGAACCCAGUUCCUCACACAUUCGAGGCAAGUACUCCACCCCUGAAACAUAACCCCAGCCAACGAUUCAUUCUUUUUUGUUGAAAUAUUUUCAUUUCUAGCCUUAUAUUGAGCCCUUUUCUGGUUUUAUCUCCAGCCUCAACAUCUACUCCUCUUUCUUAAGAGUGGGAAGGCCCUAGGCCUUCUUUUCCUUUCCCCCGUCCCUUCAAUGUGCUAAGCAUUUUCCACCUUACUUCUACACUUCUUUCCUUCCCUGAGGCUCUCUUCUCCCAGAUGUAAUUCUUCUUUAACCUUCUAAAUUGAUUAAAAAUCUAAAUGAAUUCUUUUCAUUCUUAUCCCUCAAUGUACCUUCACCCUCAUUCAUUUCCUUUAAAGGACUUGUAAUCUCCUCAAAGGCAAAUACUUGUUAUGAGUUGAAUCCUUAAAACCUGGUCUGUUAUACUUUCAAUAGAUAAUUUUAUUUUUUUGUGUGGUUUUGGGAUUGAAUCCGGGGCCUUGGCCUUGUAAAUUCUAUCACUGAGGUAAAUUCCCAGCCCCAAUAGUUUUCAAAUAAAUGAAAAACCUGCACCAUAUUUGCAUUUUUUCAUAAAUUUCAAAAACCAGAGUUUCUGAUAUGACCCUAGACAACAGGCUACCUUUACAAAGAUAGAACCUUGAAUAGCUUGGGAUAGCAAAUAAAACACAUAUCUGAUCCUAGAUUGACCUUCAGAGCAUUUCCAAAUAUCAAACCAAUAUACUCCAGUUCUUGAGGCAUUUUUUCCCCUUCCUUUUAAUUGCCUGUAGUCUGCUGUUAGCUUGCUUUUUAAAGAUAGAUGGUCUAGGGCUCGGGAUAUAGCUCAGUUGGUAGAGUGUUUGCCUUGCAUGCAGCAGGCCAUGGGUUUAAUCCCCAGCACCACAUACACAAAAACAUGACAAAAUAAAAUGUAAGCCCUGUGUAGUCACAUUAGAAAAGUAAAAAUGGGUCCAAGUACUUGUAGAUUAAAACAUUAUCAGUACUUGAAGAUGUAAUUCAUACUUUUAGGUAUUAACUAAGUCUCUGACAUCUUACAGCCAAUACUCAACGCAGCUAGGGAAUACCAAAUUGGGACAGUGAGGUCUAGAGCCUUGCUACUCAGUUCGGUCCACAAGCAAACUGGUACUACCUGGACACUUGUUAGAAACUGAAUCUUAAGUCCUAU